rnacentral:rRNA from 1 species
ACGCACGUGUGAAACUUGAAGGAAUUGACGGAAGCGCACCACAAGAACGCGUGGAGCAUGUGGCUUAAUUUGACCCAACGCGGGAAAUCUUACCGGGUCCGGACACACUGAGGAUUGACAGGUGUUUCGUUGGAUUAGGCGGGACAAGCUUAAGGGCUUCGGCUUUUCUGCUUGCCUUCUCGUUCUAAUACCUUCAUUUCAAAUAUGCUAGUCCUUUCAUGAUUGUGUGAUAGGUGGUGCAUGGCCGUUCUUAGUUCGUGGAGUGAUCUGACUGCUUAAUUGCGUUUCACUUAUGGCAUCUUUGUGUUACUACCGUAGUGUUGACCGCACUGCUGUUCAUUCAGUGGUGACGCGUCCGUUGCGGAAAGCACAUGACUGCCUCGAAGGCAACGAACGUGACC